AUCUCCAAUAGCGAAUAUGAAUGUUGUUGUGGUUAGACAGCUCGUAGUUGGAUAUCUGCCGAGGACGGCUGGUACGCCCUGCACGUGAGCAUCUGGGGCGGCCUGGGAAUCGUCUUGGUGAACAAGUAUGCAAUUGACGGUGUGGUGCGCUAUCCAGGAACUUUACUUCGAGGAACUUAGAUUGUUUCAAGCAGGCCCACGCCUUGAAUACAUGUUCUUGGAAUAAUGAGUUAGGGCCUCGCUUCUAUGUUGUUGGCAUCUAGAGCUGAGGUAAUGAUUGAUAGGGAUAGUUGAUUGCAUUCGUGUUAAACUGAAAGAGGUGGAAUUCUUGGAUUUGUUAAAGACGGACUAUUGCGAAACCAUUUGCCAGUGAUGAUU
rnacentral:rRNA from 1 species